rnacentral:lncRNA from 1 species
CCAACCCUGCGUCUCCCUUCCCUUCACUCAGGGAUUGAGAAGGAAGCUGAAACAUCCACCUUGUCAGUAGGGAAGAAAAGGCAACAAACAGCUCUCAACCUACAGUUUUUACUAAGUAAUACUGAUGCUAGAGUGAUGGAGACUAAGGUUCACCCAAUAAACCCUGGGGCAGGACAGGAUGGGAGGAUAGAACACGAGGCAUCUCUGGCAACAGUGGGGCAGAGAGCUGAGAAGAGCCUGGCCUGGGAUUCAGGUGGUGGCCCGGUCCUGCAAGUCUAUUCUAGGUUUGUGGAAUGCAAGUGACCUCGUGGCAUCCUUGUCCAAAGGAUGACACACACGGAGGAGAAAAGCCCAAUCCUUGGAGCUCUGUU